rnacentral:rRNA from 1 species
AUAGCGUAUAUUAAAGUUGUUGCAGUUAAAAAGCUCGUAGUUGGAUCUGUGCCAUAGGACGGGGUCCACCUUCGGGUGCGUACUCCGCUCCUAGGCUUUUUGCUGGUUUUCCCGUCGUAGCCUUCACUGGUUGCGGCGGGUGGCUGGCGAGUUUACUUUGAGAAAAUCAGAGUGCUCAACACAGGCGUCUUGCUUGAAUGAUUGUGCAUGGAAUAAUAGAAAAGGAUUUCGGUCCUCUUUUAUUGGUUUUGUGGACUGAGAUAAUGGUUAACAGGGACAAACGGGGGCAUUCGUAUCGCUGCGUGAGAGGUGAAAUUCUUGGACCGUAGCGAGACGCCCUAUUG